GCAAUAGCUGAGUGGUUAAGCAUCUGCUUUGCAUGCAGAAUGUCCCAGAUUCAACCCCCAGUACA